UACGUAGGGGGCAAGCGUUGUCCGGAUUUAUUGGGCGUAAAGAGCGUGUAGGCGGCCAGACAGGUCCGUUGUGAAACUCGAGGCUCAACCUCGAGAUGUCGAUGGAAACCGUCUGGCUAGAGUCCGGAAGAGGAGUGUGGAAUUCCUGGUGUAGCGGUGAAAUGCGCAGAUAUCAGGAAGAACACCUAUGGCGAAGGCAGCACUCUGGGACGGUACUGACGGCUGAGACGCGAAAGCGUGGGGAGCGAACAGG
rnacentral:rRNA from 1 species